UGGGGAAUAUUGGACAAUGGGCGAAAGCCUGAUCCAGCAAUGCCGCGUGUGCGAUGAAGGCCUUAGGGUUGUAAAGCACUUUCAGUUAUGAAGAAGGACCAUAGGUUAAUACCCUGUGGUUUUGACGUGAAUUUCAAAAGAAGCACCGGCUAACUCUGUGCCAGCAGCCGCGGUAAUACAGAGGGUGCGAGCGUUAAUCGGAAUUACUGGGCGUAAAGGGCAUGUAGGCGGAUGUCUAAGUCAAAUGUGAAAUCCUCGGGCUUAACCUGAGAAUGGCAUUUGAUACUGGGCGUCUAGAGUAUAGCAGAGGAAAGUGGAAUUUCCGGUGUAGCGGUGGAAUGCAUAGAUAU
rnacentral:rRNA from 1 species